rnacentral:rRNA from 1 species
ACAACUAGCUCUCAUCGUUUACGGUGUGGACUACCAGGGUAUCUAAUCCUGUUUGCUCCCCACACUUUCGUGCCUCAGCGUCAGUAUCUGUCCAGUAAGCCGCCUUCGCCUCUGGUGUUCCUCCUAAUAUCUACGAAUUUCACCUCUACACUAGGAAUUCCACUUACCUCUCCAGAACUCUAGAUUGGGAGUUUUAAAUGCAGUUCCAAGGUUGAGCCUUGGGAUUUCACAUCUAACUUUCCAAUCCGCCUACGCAUGCUUUACGCCCAGUAAUUCCGAACAACGCUAGCCCCCUCCGUAUUACCGCGGCUGCUGGCACGGAGUUAGCCGGGGCUUCUUUACUAGGUACUGUCAUUAUCAUCCCUAGCGAAAGAAUUUUACAACCCUAAGGCCUUCAUCAUUCACGCGGCAUGGCUGGAUCAGAGUUGCCUCCAUUGUCCAAUAUUCCCCACUGCUGCCUCCCGUAGGAGUCUGGGCCGUGUCUCAGUCCCAGUGUGGCUGGUCAUCCUCUCAGACCAGCUAUAGAUCGUCGCCUUGGUGAGCUUUUACCUCACCAACUAGCUAAUCUAACGCGGCCCCGUCUAUCAGCGAUAAAUCUUUCUCCCGGAGGACGUAUACGGUAUUAGCAGUCAUUUCUAACUGUUGUUCCGUACUGAUAGGUAGGUUGCCACGCGUUACUCACCCGUCUGCCACUGUCCUUAAGAGCAAGCUCUUAAUUCUCGUUCGACUUGCAUGUGUUAAGCCUGCCGCCAGCGUUCGUUCUGAGCCAGGAUCAAACUCU